rnacentral:rRNA from 1 species
AUGGCAAAAGAACUAUCAUGUGUGCUGAGAGGCGCCUAUGCAGACGGAGGCGGCGCCACAAACGGCAUAGGCACAUUGAUGCUCGGGAUGGUAGGUAUCUGCGGCAUUGUCACCUUCGGCACAACAAUUGCGGGCAUUGGCGGCAUGGUCAACUUUGGCACGACAAUGGCAGGCAUCGGGGGCAUCGUCAUCUUGGGCAUGGAAGGAACAACUGGCAUAGGCGGCAGUGUCACCUGCGGCACUGUGGGCAUGGUCGGCAUAGGUGGCACGGUCGCAGCCGGCACCGUGGGAACAGGCAUAGCCGGCAUAGGCGGCAGUGCCAUCUGCGGCACCGUGGGCACGGUGGGCAUAGGUGGCACGGUCAUGGCCGGCACUGUGGGCACAACUGCCGGCAAGGUCGGCACCGCUGGGAUGCCAGGGACAGGAGCAGCGGUAGGGGCAGCCGGAGGAGUAGUGUCGGCCAAGUUGCGUGCGCCAUGGCACGUGUUGCUGGAGAGGAGCGCGCACGCCAUGAUCGUGGCCAAGAAGCUCGCCAUGGAAGCCAUAGCUAGCUAG